CACGAUGUGUGAAAGAGAGAAAGAGGAAUAGAGAGACAGGGCACCCAAUGAGAGCGAGAGAGAGAGUGAGAGGGUGAGAGAGAGAGAGAGAGAGAGAGAGAGAGAGAGAAUGUGUUGCAAUUGGUGGGAGAACGUAAAGUGAAUUAUACUUAAUCUGAGCACCCUAUUGAAAAGAAAAAUGAUAAGAUUCGUUCUCUGGAUAUUACUCUUUCUCAAAAGUGAUCUGAUUGAUGCUGUAAAUGUGUUGGGAAAAGAGGGAAUGAAAGUAACUUUACCGACUGGACUUAAUGACCUACCUAGUGGCACUAUUAUGGCAUGGUCUUUCCCAUUGAGUCGUUCAGAUUCAUUUGAUAACAUAGCGCUGCUGAAUGCUGGUGUGAUUACAACAAACUACAGUAGGAGGUUCAAAGACAGACUGAAGAUGGAUACUCAGACUGGAUCUCUCACCAUCAGAAACCUCACCAUCAACGACUCUGGACUUUAUAAAAUGCUUAUCAUCAAUACACAGAGUUCAUCUAAGAUUGUAAAUCUAACUGUCUAUGCCUCAGUGUCUGCUCCUCACAUCAGUCCCUCAGUGGACAGUCCAUUUGAAAAAGUGAGCUGUUCCUUGGUGUGCACUGUGAAGAACGCGGGAGAGGUGAUCUUGUCCUGGUACAGAGGAGGGGAGAUACUCAACCAGACCAGCAGCCCUGAUCUUCUAGCCAAUC